rnacentral:rRNA from 1 species
CAGCAGCCACGGUAAUACGUAGGGUGCGAGCGUUAAUCGGAAUUACUGGGCGUAAAGCGUGCGCAGGCGGUUAUAUAAGACAGAUGUGAAAUCCCCGGGCUCAACCUGGGACCUGCAUUUGUGACUGUAUAGCUAGAGUACGGUAGAGGGGGAUGGAAUUCCGCGUGUAGCAGUGAAAUGCGUAGAUAUGCGGAGGAACACCGAUGGCGAAGGCAAUCCCCUGGACCUGUACUGACGCUCAUGCACGAAAGCGUGGGGAGCAAACAGGAUUAGAUACCCCUGUAGUCCCUGUCUCUUAUAC